AGAACGAACGCUGGUGGCGUGCCUAUACAUGCAAGUCGAGCGGUGCAGCAAUGCAUAGCGGCGAACGGGUGAGUAACACGUAAGCAAUCUGCCCCCUGCUUGGGAAUAGCCGUGCCAACGCGCGGAUAAUACCGAAUAUCGUGGCCUUCCGCAUGGGAGGUUGACAAAAGAUUUAUCGGCAGGGGAUGAGCUUGCGUCCGAUUAGCUAGUUGGCGGGGCAACGGCCCACCAAGGCGACGAUCGGUAGCCGGCCUGAGAGGGCGAUCGGCCACAUUGGGACUGAGAUACGGCCCAGACUCCUACGGGAGGCAGCAGUAGGGAAUAUUGCACAAUGGGGGAAACCCUGAUGCAGCAACGCCAACCGUGUGGGAAGAAGCAUUUCGGUGUGUAAACCACUGUCGUGAGGGAAUAAGGCAUUUUUUCGGAGAUGUUGAAUGUACCUCGAAAGGAAGCACCGGCAAACUUCGUGCCAGCCGCCGC
rnacentral:rRNA from 1 species